UCCCUACGGGGGAGCAGCAGUGGGGAAUAUUGCACAAUGGGCGCAAGCCUGAUGCAGCAACGCCGCGUGAGGGACGACGGCCUUCGGGUUGUAAACCUCUUUUAGCAGGGAAGAAGCGAAAGUGACGGUACCUGCAGAAAAAGCGCCGGCUAACUACGUGCCAGCAGCCGCGGUAAUACGUAGGGCGCAAGCGUUAUCCGGAAUUAUUGGGCGUAAAGAGCUCGUAGGCGGUUUGUCGCGUCUGCUGUGAAAUCCGGAGGCUCAACCUCCGGCCUGCAGUGGGUACGGGCAGACUAGAGUGCGGUAGGGGAGAUUGGAAUUCCUGGUGUAGCGGUGGAAUGCGCAGAUAUCAGGAGGAACACCGAUGGCGAAGGCAGAUCUCUGGGCCGUAACUGACGCUGAGGAGCGAAAGGGUGGGGAGCAAACAGGCUUAGAUACCCUGGUAGUCCACCCCGUAAACGUUGGGAACUAGUUGUGGGGUCCAUUCCACGGAUUCCGUGACGCAGCUAACGCAUUAAGUCCCCGCCUGGAGACGCGCAGCCU
rnacentral:rRNA from 1 species